GACGAACCGUACGAACGUUAUUCGGAAUUACUGGGCUUAAAGGGUGCGUAGGCGGCGCAGUAAGUUGGGUGUGAAAUCCCUCGGCUUAACCGAGGAAUUGCGCCCAAAACUACUGUGCUCGAGGGAGGUAGAGGUGAGCGGAACUUAGGGUGGAGCGGUGAAAUGCGUUGAUAUCCUAAGGAACACCGGUGGCGAAGGCGGGUCUCUGGGCCGAUACUGACGCUGAGGAGCGAAAGCGUGGGGAGCGAACAGG
rnacentral:rRNA from 1 species